rnacentral:rRNA from 1 species
GAUGAACGCUGGCGGCGUGCCUAAUACAUGCAAGUCGAGCGAACAGACGAGGAGCUUGCUCCUCUGACCUUAGCGGCGGACGGGUGAGUAACACGUGGAUAACCUACCUAUAAGACUGGGAUAACUUCGGGAAACCGGAGCUAAUACCGGAUAAUAUAUUGAACCGCAUGGUUCAAUAGUGAAAGACGGUUUUGCUGUCACUUAUAGAUGGAUCCGCGCCGCAUUAGCUAGUUGGUAAGGUAACGGCUUACCAAGGCAACGAUGCGUAGCCGACCUGAGAGGGUGAUCGGCCACACUGGAACUGAGACACGGUCCAGACUCCUACGGGAGGCAGCAGUAGGGAAUCUUCCGCAAUGGGCGAAAGCCUGACGGAGCAACGCCGCGUGAGUGAUGAAGGUCUUCGGAUCGUAAAACUCUGUUAUUAGGGAAGAACAAAUGUGUAAGUAACUAUGCACGUCGUGACGGUACCUAAUCAGAAAGCCACGGCUAACUACGUG